GUCUAUGGCUCUACCACCCUGAAUGUGCCCAAUCCUGGAAGCUAACCAGGGUUGGGCCUGGUUAGUACUUGGAUGGGAGAAAGAAACAAGUUGACCAGGCA
rnacentral:rRNA from 1 species